rnacentral:rRNA from 1 species
GGGUUGUGAGGUUAAGCGACUAAGCGUACACGGUGGAUGCCCUGGCAGUCAGAGGCGAUGAAGGACGUGCUAAUCUGCGAUAAGCGUCGGUAAGGUGAUAUGAACCGUUAUAACCGGCGAUUUCCGAAUGGGGAAACCCAGUGUGUUUCGACACACUAUCAUUUACUGAAUCCAUAGGUUAAUGAGGCGAACCGGGGGAACUGAAACAUCUAAGUACCCCGAGGAAAAGAAAUCAACCGAGAUUCCCCCAGUAGCGGCGAGCGAACGGGGAGCAGCCCAGAGCCUGAAUCAGUGUGUGUGUUAGUGGAAGCGUCUGGAAAGGCGCGCGAUACAGGGUGACAGCCCCGUACACAAAAAUGCACAUAUUGUGAGCUCGAUGAGUAGGGCGGGACACGUGGUAUCCUGUCUGAAUAUGGGGGGACCAUCCUCCAAGGCUAAAUACUCCUGACUGACCGAUAGUGAACCAGUACCGUGAGGGAAAGGCGAAAAGAACCCCGGCGAGGGGAGUGAAAAAGAACCUGAAACCGUGUACGUACAAGCAGUGGGAGCCUCUUUUAUGGGGUGACUGCGUACCUUUUGUAUAAUGGGUCAGCGACUUAUAUUCUGUAGCAAGGUUAACCGAAUAGGGGAGCCGAAGGGAAACCGAGUCUUAACUGGGCGUUAAGUUGCAGGGUAUAGACCCGAAACCCGGUGAUCUAGCCAUGGGCAGGUUGAAGGUUGGGUAACACUAACUGGAGGACCGAACCGACUAAUGUUGAAAAAUUAGCGGAUGACUUGUGGCUGGGGGUGAAAGGCCAAUCAAACCGGGAGAUAGCUGGUUCUCCCCGAAAGCUAUUUAGGUAGCGCCUCGUGAAUUCAUCUCCGGGGGUAGAGCACUGUUUCGGCAAGGGGGUCAUCCCGACUUACCAACCCGAUGCAAACUGCGAAUACCGGAGAAUGUUAUCACGGGAGACACACGGCGGGUGCUAACGUCCGUCGUGAAGAGGGAAACAACCCAGACCGCCAGCUAAGGUCCCAAAGUCAUGGUUAAGUGGGAAACGAUGUGGGAAGGCCCAGACAGCCAGGAUGUUGGCUUAGAAGCAGCCAUCAUUUAAAGAAAGCGUAAUAGCUCACUGGUCGAGUCGGCCUGCGCGGAAGAUGUAACGGGGCUAAACCAUGCACCGAAGCUGCGGCAGCGACGCUUAUGCGUUGUUGGGUAGGGGAGCGUUCUGUAAGCCUGUGAAGGUGUGCUGUGAGGCAUGCUGGAGGUAUCAGAAGUGCGAAUGCUGACAUAAGUAACGAUAAAGCGGGUGAAAAGCCCGCUCGCCGGAAGACCAAGGGUUCCUGUCCAACGUUAAUCGGGGCAGGGUGAGUCGACCCCUAAGGCGAGGCCGAAAGGCGUAGUCGAUGGGAAACAGGUUAAUAUUCCUGUACUUGGUGUUACUGCGAAGGGGGGACGGAGAAGGCUAUGUUGGCCGGGCGACGGUUGUCCCGGUUUAAGCGUGUAGGCUGGUUUUCCAGGCAAAUCCGGAAAAUCAAGGCUGAGGCGUGAUGACGAGGCACUACGGUGCUGAAGCAACAAAUGCCCUGCUUCCAGGAAAAGCCUCUAAGCAUCAGGUAACAUCAAAUCGUACCCCAAACCGACACAGGUGGUCAGGUAGAGAAUACCAAGGCGCUUGAGAGAACUCGGGUGAAGGAACUAGGCAAAAUGGUGCCGUAACUUCGGGAGAAGGCACGCUGAUAUGUAGGUGAAGUCCCUCGCGGAUGGAGCUGAAAUCAGUCGAAGAUACCAGCUGGCUGCAACUGUUUAUUAAAAACACAGCACUGUGCAAACACGAAAGUGGACGUAUACGGUGUGACGCCUGCCCGGUGCCGGAAGGUUAAUUGAUGGGGUUAGCGCAAGCGAAGCUCUUGAUCGAAGCCCCGGUAAACGGCGGCCGUAACUAUAACGGUCCUAAGGUAGCGAAAUUCCUUGUCGGGUAAGUUCCGACCUGCACGAAUGGCGUAAUGAUGGCCAGGCUGUCUCCACCCGAGACUCAGUGAAAUUGAACUCGCUGUGAAGAUGCAGUGUACCCGCGGCAAGACGGAAAGACCCCGUGAACCUUUACUAUAGCUUGACACUGAACAUUGAGCCUUGAUGUGUAGGAUAGGUGGGAGGCUUAGAAGUGUGGACGCCAGUCUGCAUGGAGCCGACCUUGAAAUACCACCCUUUAAUGUUUGAUGUUCUAACGUGGACCCGUAAUCCGGGUUGCGGACAGUGUCUGGUGGGUAGUUUGACUGGGGCGGUCUCCUCCUAAAGAGUAACGGAGGAGCACGAAGGUUGGCUAAUCCUGGUCGGACAUCAGGAGGUUAGUGCAAUGGCAUAAGCCAGCUUGACUGCGAGCGUGACGGCGCGAGCAGGUGCGAAAGCAGGUCAUAGUGAUCCGGUGGUUCUGAAUGGAAGGGCCAUCGCUCAACGGAUAAAAGGUACUCCGGGGAUAACAGGCUGAUACCGCCCAAGAGUUCAUAUCGACGGCGGUGUUUGGCACCUCGAUGUCGGCUCAUCACAUCCUGGGGCUGAAGUAGGUCCCAAGGGUAUGGCUGUUCGCCAUUUAAAGUGGUACGCGAGCUGGGUUUAGAACGUCGUGAGACAGUUCGGUCCCUAUCUGCCGUGGGCGCUGGAGAACUGAGGGGGGCUGCUCCUAGUACGAGAGGACCGGAGUGGACGCAUCACUGGUGUUCGGGUUGUCAUGCCAAUGGCACUGCCCGGUAGCUAAAUGCGGAAGAGAUAAGUGCUGAAAGCAUCUAAGCACGAAACUUGCCCCGAGAUGAGUUCUCCCUGACCCUUUAAGGGUCCUGAAGGAACGUUGAAGACGACGACGUUGAUAGGCCGGGUGUGUAAGCGCAGCGAUGCGUUGAGCUAACCGGUACUAAUGAACCGUGAGGCUUAACCUUACAACGCCGAAG